ensembl:lncRNA
GCCAGUUACAGUUAAACUCAGGUCCAGAGGUCCCAAUCACCAAACCACCUGUUAGGAAAUAAUUCACGUGCCGGGCCUUUAGUGAGCAUGGUUGAUCCAGCACCAGUUCUGUGCACGUGAGCUCACUGCCGUCGUACAGCCUCGCCGUCUCCAGCCAACAUUGCUAGGCAGCCUCGUGGUUGUUCUUUUCUGCUUCCACUCUUACCUUCAUGUGGUCUUUUUCCUGUGCAACAGCCAGAGUUAUUCUUUCAAAACAAAUCAGAAAAGUCAUUCACCUACUCCCAACCGCCAGUGGCUGGCUCAUUACGGCAUUUAGAGUGAAGUCCACAGUGCUUAGUGCGGCCUGCUUGGCCUCCAUGAGCUGGCCUCUCACUGCUCAGAUCCCACCUGCUGCUCUCCUCUCCUGGCCUACGCUCGGGCCCCACCGGCCUCCAUAUUGGUAAUACAACACACAAGCUCAUUCUUAGUUCAAGCCCUGGAAUGCCCUUCCCCUGCCUGGAUCUUCUCAUGGCGCUCUCCUUCCCACCAUUCAGAUCCCUGCUCCAAUGUACCUCCUUAAAGAGGCCUUCUCUGACCACCCUGUCUAAGGAAGCACUCCCCAUUCCAUUACUCCCUAUCCCUUUAGCCCACUUUAUUUUUCUUCUUAACCCAGAUUGUCACUGUACAUUGCAGUAGAUAUUGGUUUAUUCUCUGCCCCACAUAUGCUUGACCAUAAGCUCUUGGAGAGCAGGGACUCAACUAUUUUAACUUUUAUUCUCUGCUUUAUCUCCAGGGCCUAGAACAGUGCCUGGCACAUAAAAUGUCACCAGAGGCUCACAGGAACAUCGCCCUGUGUUUCCCCUGGGAAAUGGCUAACUCAGUGUUGGCAGCAACUGUAUAGAACUCAGCCAUGAUGAAGCAGUUGAUUCUCGAAGAGGUCAAGUAACUGCCCAAGUCACACAGUAAGUAGAAAGUCCAGAAUUCAAUCACAAGUCGUCUUGUCUAAAACCUAUAUUCUUUUCCAUUCUGCCAUGUUACCUGUCAGUAACAACUCUGUAUCAUGUGUGGUAUUUAAGUCUAGAACUUCGUUCCACCCUGGUUCAGAACAGGCUUAGCAUUCUUACUUUCUGCUGCGUAAGGCGACCUCUGGCAGGCUGCUUGCAGCUCUCUUGGUGACAGCCCAUUGGCGGGAGAAUGAGAAGGAAAGAAUUACUGCUCAUGCGCCCACUUGAGUGAAUCUCAGGAAUAGAAGGUUGAGUGGAAAAAGCCAGACAUAAAAGUGCUGUAGGUUACCAUUUAUAUAAAGUUCAAAAACAAAGUAAAUCUCUGGAGUAGAAGCUGGGGGCGGGGCCGGUGGAGGGGGCCGCCAGCAGUGCUGGGAGCCGGCUGGUCUAGGUCUUGAUUUGGGCUCUGGUUACAGGGGAGUGUUUGCUUUGUAAGCAAUCAAUAUUAGGUUAAUAUUAUUAUCCUUAUCGUCCUUAUUUGAUGGAAAAGGAAAUCAAGGCUUAGAGAGGUUAAAUGAUUUGCCCAAGGUCACAUAAAAGUGGCUGAACUGGGAUUCUAACUUGUUCUCUCCAAGGCUCAUCUGCUUCACCAGUGCGCGUGCAUCGCAGGAGGGCCCUGGAGAGGGGCCUGGUGCCUGAGGGGCCUCGGGGCUUGAGGUUGGCAGGGCAGGAGGAAGCCUAGAUGUUGGGGGCAUUGUGGGGCACUUAACCCAGGGGCAAGCCCAGAGCAAAGUGUAUUCCUGAGGCUCCUGGGAAUGUAGAAUGUAGAAUGAGAGAUCCUGGAUUUGGCUCUAGGGGUGGGUCCCUAGGGUCCCUAGAGAGCACUAGGGUUUAGGGACAAGCCAGGGUGUCCACUGGAGUGGGAAUUCUUUAGCCCCGUCAUCCUCUCCACUUCCUCACUAUCAAUCAGCAUCCCACCUCUCCUCCAUGAGAUACAUCAUCACAACAGGAAGGACAUGGGACCCCAGGGUGUCCCUGAUGUACCAAUGUGUGAAAUCUCAAAAAGUAAACAGAAGGAGUAAUUCUAAUCUACUGUAACAAACGGAUACACAUAUAUACCCGUGGACAUUGUAUCACCCUUUGGGAUGGCCAGAGAGGUAUGGCAGAAGGACACAACAGUUAGUGUUCAAGGUUAAGAUUUGCUGUUGUACUAUUUCUAACUUGUAGAAAAAUUCUAAACCUGAAAGCAUCUUUUUUUCAGCCUGUGAACAAUUGAUAAGCUUUCUUUUUUUAAAGAUUGGCACCUGAGCUAACAUGUGUUGCCAAUCUUCUUCUCCUCCCCCUCCCCCUCCUUCUUCCCAAAGCCCCCCAGUACACAGUUGUAUAUUCUAGUUGUGAAUG